AAAACUACUAGUGCCUAUUUUGAAAAUAGGCCUCAGAAGUUAAUACUUCUUAGUUUUA
rnacentral:tRNA from 1 species